rnacentral:rRNA from 1 species
AACGAACGCUGGCGGCAGGCUUAACACAUGCAAGUCGAGCGCCCCGCAAGGGGAGCGGCAGACGGGUGAGUAACGCGUGGGAAUCUACCCAUCUCUACGGAAUAACGCAUGGAAACGUGUGCUAAUACCGUAUACGUCCUUCGGGAGAAAGAUUUAUCGGAGAUGGAUGAGCCCGCGGUGGACUAGCUAGUUGGUGGGGUAAAAGCCUACCAAGGCAACGAUCCGUAGCUGGUCUGAGAGGAUGAUCAGCCACACUGGGACUGAGACACGGCCCAGACUCCUACGGGAGGCAGCAGUGGGGAAUAUUGGACAAUGGGCGAAAGCCUGAUCCAGCAAUGCCGCGUGAGUGAUGAAGGCCUUAGGGUUGUAAAGCUCUUUUACCCGGGAUGAUAGUGACAGUACCGGGAGAAUAAGCCCCGGCUAACUCCGUGCCAGCAGCCGCCGUAAAAC